rnacentral:misc_RNA from 1 species
AAUCCUACAAACCUCCAUAGGCAAAUAGAUGGGCUUCGCAUCAUUACCAGCUUGUAUAGCCGGUAGAGAUGGAAAUUUGAGCACAACACCAUAUUUUUCACGAAAGUAUUGUGCAACAUAGAUUCGGGUUCUCUGAUCAUCAAGAGUGAACAUUAAUCUGUUUACAGGCUCUGAUGAUAUCCCAGUAAUUUUGUAGGUCCUGG